AGCGUACACGGUGGAUGCCCUGGCAGUCAGAGGCGAUGAAGGACGUGCUAAUCUGCGAUAAGCGUCGGUAAGGUGAUAUGAACCGUUAUAACCGGCGAUUUCCGAAUGGGGAAACCCAGUGUGAUUCGUCACACUAUCAUUAACUGAAUCCAUAGGUUAAUGAGGCGAACCGGGGGAACUGAAACAUCUAAGUACCCCGAGGAAAAGAAAUCAACCGAGAUUCCCCCAGUAGCGGCGAGCGAACGGGGAGCAGCCCAGAGCCUGAAUCAGUGUGUGUGUUAGUGGAAGCGUCUGGAAAGGCGUGCGAUACAGGGUGACAGCCCCGUACACAAAAAUGCACAUGCUGUGAGCUCGAUGAGUAGGGCGGGACACGUGGUAUCCUGUCUGAAUAUGGGGGGACCAUCCUCCAAGGCUAAAUACUCCUGACUGACCGAUAGUGAACCAGUACCGUGAGGGAAAGGCGAAAAGAACCCCGGCGAGGGGAGUGAAAAAGAACCUGAAACCGUGUACGUACAAGCAGUGGGAGCACGCUUAGGCGUGUGACUGCGUACCUUUUGUAUAAUGGGUCAGCGACUUAUAUUCUGUAGCAAGGUUAACCGAAUAGGGGAGCCGAAGGGAAACCGAGUCUUAACUGGGCGUUAAGUUGCAGGGUAUAGACCCGAAACCCGGUGAUCUAGCCAUGGGCAGGUUGAAGGUUGGGUAACACUAACUGGAGGACCGAACCGACUAAUGUUGAAAAAUUAGCGGAUGACUUGUGGCUGGGGGUGAAAGGCCAAUCAAACCGGGAGAUAGCUGGUUCUCCCCGAAAGCUAUUUAGGUAGCGCCUCGUGAAUUCAUCUCCGGGGGUAGAGCACUGUUUCGGCAAGGGGGUCAUCCCGACUUACCAACCCGAUGCAAACUGCGAAUACCGGAGAAUGUUAUCACGGGAGACACACGGCGGGUGCUAACGUCCGUCGUGAAGAGGGAAACAACCCAGACCGCCAGCUAAGGUCCCAAAGUCAUGGUUAAGUGGGAAACGAUGUGGGAAGGCCCAGACAGCCAGGAUGUUGGCUUAGAAGCAGCCAUCAUUUAAAGAAAGCGUAAUAGCUCACUGGUCGAGUCGGCCUGCGCGGAAGAUGUAACGGGGCUAAACCAUGCACCGAAGCUGCGGCAGCGACGCUUAUGCGUUGUUGGGUAGGGGAGCGUUCUGUAAGCCUGUGAAGGUGUGCUGUGAGGCAUGCUGGAGGUAUCAGAAGUGCGAAUGCUGACAUAAGUAACGAUAAAGCGGGUGAAAAGCCCGCUCGCCGGAAGACCAAGGGUUCCUGUCCAACGUUAAUCGGGGCAGGGUGAGUCGACCCCUAAGGCGAGGCCGAAAGGCGUAGUCGAUGGGAAACAGGUUAAUAUUCCUGUACUUGGUGUUACUGCGAAGGGGGGACGGAGAAGGCUAUGUUGGCCGGGCGACGGUUGUCCCGGUUUAAGCGUGUAGGCUGGUUUUCCAGGCAAAUCCGGAAAAUCAAGGCUGAGGCGUGAUGACGAGGCACUACGGUGCUGAAGCAACAAAUGCCCUGCUUCCAGGAAAAGCCUCUAAGCAUCAGGUAACAUCAAAUCGUACCCCAAACCGACACAGGUGGUCAGGUAGAGAAUACCAAGGCGCUUGAGAGAACUCGGGUGAAGGAACUAGGCAAAAUGGUGCCGUAACUUCGGGAGAAGGCACGCUGAUAUGUAGGUGAAGUCCCUCGCGGAUGGAGCUGAAAUCAGUCGAAGAUACCAGCUGGCUGCAACUGUUUAUUAAAAACACAGCACUGUGCAAACACGAAAGUGGACGUAUACGGUGUGACGCCUGCCCGGUGCCGGAAGGUUAAUUGAUGGGGUCAGCGCAAGCGAAGCUCUUGAUCGAAGCCCCGGUAAACGGCGGCCGUAACUAUAACGGUCCUAAGGUAGCGAAAUUCCUUGUCGGGUAAGUUCCGACCUGCACGAAUGGCGUAAUGAUGGCCAGGCUGUCUCCACCCGAGACUCAGUGAAAUUGAACUCGCUGUGAAGAUGCAGUGUACCCGCGGCAAGACGGAAAGACCCCGUGAACCUUUACUAUAGCUUGACACUGAACAUUGAGCCUUGAUGUGUAGGAUAGGUGGGAGGCUUUGAAGUGUGGACGCCAGUCUGCAUGGAGCCGACCUUGAAAUACCACCCUUUAAUGUUUGAUGUUCUAACGUUGACCCGUAAUCCGGGUUGCGGACAGUGUCUGGUGGGUAGUUUGACUGGGGCGGUCUCCUCCUAAAGAGUAACGGAGGAGCACGA
rnacentral:rRNA from 1 species